UCGGGGUGGGUGGCGUCCUCUUUUUGUGUACAUAAAAACUGCGAUCAGAAUCGUAUGGACCAUGGGUAGUAUUCCAGGAACAUAACCUGCCAGUAGUGCAUAACAUAAUAAACGUCAGAUUGGAAAUCAUCGGCGAUUAGAAAAAGAACUUUAAUCCUUGUGAGCCAGUGGAAGAAACAAAGAAAAUGGUUAGAUUAACUGGUAGAUAUUUCGCAAUGUUCAUUAGCGGAUUUGUAGGAUUAUUUGCGCUGGCUACUUAUCCAGUGAUGAUACAACCGAUGCUGAAUCCAGAACCUUACAAAAAAAACAGAGAACGAGCAUAUGGCAAGGCUGGCCCACCACUUGGAUGAUAUAGCUGAAUCAAAAGAGGGUAGUCCAAAUCCUUCUGUUUUAGUAAAAGACGAAAGAUACUUGAAAUCAAUUAUACCAAUUGCAUCGUAAAAAUAAUCCUAUAAUUAGCUAGAUUUUAUGUAUGUACAUAUAUGUAUAUAAUUUGAGAUUGUUUUGAUUAAAAAUCGUCAUCACACACGUCCAAGAAAACGUCGAACGCCUCUCUGUUGCAAUUUCCAUCCGCAGUAAAAACAUACUUGUGGAAAGUACCAUCCAAACAAACGGC
rnacentral:misc_RNA from 1 species